CGCACGGGUGAGUAACGCGUAUACAAUUUACCUUUUACAGGGGAAUAGCCCAGAGAAAUUUGGAUUAAUGCCCCAUGGUAUUAUCGAAUCGCAUGGUUUGAUAAUUAAAGUUUCGGCGGUAAAAGAUGAGUAUGCGUCCUAUUAGCUAGAUGGUGAGGUAACGGCUCACCAUGGCUACGAUAGGUAGGGGUCCUGAGAGGGAGAUCCCACACACUGGUACUGAGGCACGGACCAG
rnacentral:rRNA from 1 species